AACAGGAUAUUAUGUUAGUUCCCAGAUUUGCUCCAACCAAUUGAUUUCUUGUAUGGAUGCCUGGUGUGUUUGGAUGAUAUUCUAUCUUCUUCCUGCCUUCUGAUCUAUAGAUGCAUCAACCAAUGGAGAUUGAUCUUAUCUUACGCUUUCUCUUGAUUCAACCUAGUCAUAUUCGUCAUCAUCAAUUUGGUUUCUGGUUCAUUAAAAGAUAUGUUAGUUUGUAAGAUAACCAUUUAUUGAAAUAUUGAACACAAUGUGCACAGAAUGACAGCAAUCUACAUCUCCAGUAUCUGCAAAUUGUGUACACAAGCCAACCAUUUGAAUCUUAUGUCUAUCUAUAAAUUCAUUUGUACUAGGUUUAAUAUAUUAGUUGAUCUAAGAUGUAAGAUUAGAAAAUUGCCUUGCAUCUGCUGCUGGAGAGACCUGAGAUGCAUCCAUAGAAUGGCAGUCUAAUCCCAUGCUUGCUGGCAAUGUCAUAACGGCGAUGCUGACCAUGGCUGCAAGCGCAAAGCUCCUUGCAUCUCCUGAUGCCUCCAAGGCCUACAAUGACACAAGGCAGUGGUCUCUGGGUUUCUAUGACGCCACAAAAGAGACUAGAUGUAGAUGC
rnacentral:lncRNA from 1 species